rnacentral:lncRNA from 1 species
ACUAUGCACAUAUCAAGGCAAAGUCCUAGAGUUGAAAGUUAUUGCUCUUUGCUUUGCAAUCCCAACUCUCUUCACACUUGAAACUAUCAUUUUUUUUAGGAAACAGACGAUGCCACCUUGAAAAUGUUAAACAAUUAUCAUGGGUAUUUUUUCCCCAUUGAAUACAACAGCUUUGAGUUAGCACUUUUGCUAUGCCAUGCAUGUCCAAACAGCCACUUUGUGGUUCUGAGAAUAAAACAUGCCACCGGUUCUGAGAAUAAAACACGCCACCGUUAUUCCUGACAAAGUUGAACAUAAGCCAGCGUUCCUUUGUGUCUGGUCAAAAUAGCUUAAGUGGGUGAAUAUUUUAUUUCUUUCUUUGUUUGUACUGUGCUAUUGAAUCACCAAUUAGCUGCCCAGUUCUUACCACUGAUACCACGUGUGCUGCCCUUUUGUGACUCAAGUGAUCAGCCACAAUAUACCGAUAAUUUGAGUUCUUAUUACUUUGGUGACUUGAGAGGCUACGUUGUGUACAGUAUGUAUGUACAGCAUGAAUGUGCAGCUGCUUUCAGACUUAAUCCAAACAAUGAAAACAUAUCUACAGCAGCUUAACUUUAACAAAUGUGAGCUUUAAAGGGGCCCUGAAACACUUCUUGAACAUAGUAAGAAAACGCUGCCGAUCUGUCAUAGAAGCUGCUGUGAAUAUGUGAGCCAAAUAUUACUGCACUGCAUGCAACAAGGAAUUUACAAUGUCGCGUCAAACAUGGCAAAAAAAUCACUUGCUCUGGCUUCCGCAAUGCCAUGAUGCAGUGACAUCGAAAGCAGCUGGCCCAACCACACUAUUGGCUGAUUUCAUCAUCGCAAAAGCAUUGUCAGUAAUACAUAAUUGCUAAUUUUUAGUUAAAUAAAUGAAAAAUAUGUAUGUCUGCGAUGUCAAAAAGACAGGAAAAUUAUUUCAUCUUUGCACUGCGCGUAGCUUUAAGUGCUGUGCGUAGCCUC